rnacentral:sRNA from 1 species
UACGCGCAAGUUGUCGAUUAUGCAAACUG